UGAGGAAUAUUGGCUCAUGGACGCAAGUCUGAACCAGCCAAGUAGCGUGCAGGAUGACGGCCCUAUGGGUUGUAAACUGCUUUUAUACGGGGAUAAAGUGGGGCACGUGUUCCCUUUUGCAGGUACCAUAUGAAUAAGGACCGGCUAAUUCCUUGCCAGCCGCCGCGGUAAUACGGCAGGUUCGGGCGUUAUCCGGCUUUAUUGGGGUUAAAGGGAGCGUAGGCCGUUUGGUAAGCGUGUUGUGAAAUGUAGGAGCUCAACUUCUAGAUUGCAGCGCGAACUGUCAGACUGGAGUGCGCACAACGGAGGCGGAAGUGAUGGGGUGGCGGUGAAAUGCGUAGAUAUCAUGAAGAGCACCGAUUGCGAAGGCAGCUUACGGGAGCGAAACUGACGCUGAAGUUCGAAGGUGGAGGUAUCGACCAGG
rnacentral:rRNA from 1 species